UGGGAGCUCUUCAUUCAGACUAUGGAUCCAGAUCAUGAAGACAGAUUUUCACUUUGAUCCACUUGAUGUGACAAAAAGCUGGCCAGAGGAUGUCUUGCCUUUGCUGCCAGUGGGAAGACUAGUUCGGAACAAGAACAUUGAUCACUUUUUUCAAUGAGAAUGAGCAGCUACAUUUCUGCCCUUGUAUUGUGGUUCCAGGGGUUUAUUACUCAGAUGAUAAAAUGCUUCAAACUCAUAGUUUCUCCUACUCUGAUAGCCAGAGGUAUCGACUUGGACCAAACUAUUUGCAACUUCCUGCUAAUGCUCCAAAGUGUGCUCAACAAUCACUAUGAUGGCUCUAUGAAUUUUAUGCAUAGGGAUGAGUAUAUUGACUACUUCCCUUCAAGGUAUGAUCAAGUUCAGCCAUGCUGAGAUGCAUCCUAUUCCUUCAACAGUUUGCCGUUGCAAACUAGAGAAGGUUUAUUCCUUUUUAUCUAUUAUCUAAUAACAUUUGAAGCUGAAUUAAGACUACAACUUCUGAAGCAGUGGCAGUAGAUAUCCAGGAAAUGCAUAUUGAAGUGGACCUUAAUCCAACACAAGUCUUUUUUCAAACUUUUGUGUUGCUGAAAUUUCUUACAGUUAUCAAUCAGAAUGAGAACAAUUUCAAUCAAGCAGGGAAAAUGUACCGCAAAUUCACACCUGACAGUCUAUGGAACUUGAAAAAAUUGGGGAUGGAUCUGCAACAUUCUUCAUUCUCAAGCUUCAAGAUCAUUUACCAGACGGUGGAACUUGAAAAAAUUGCCAUUUACCCGAAAUUGCAUUGCAUUAAAUUUUGCAACAUUUCAUCAAAGUUAAAUCUAACUUUGAGCAUGAAGUAAUAUGUUUUGGUUAAAGCAGAAAUUUAAAUCUGAUUCACAGAAAGCCAACAUCUGUCACACUUCUUGCUGUAACAUUCUAACAUCUGUCACACUUCUUGCUGUAACAUUCUCUUAUACUUUUCUCUGUCAUAUUAUAUAUUCAAAAUGUGAAUGUACACAUGUAAACCAUUUGCCAAUCAGUCUUUGAAGGGAAACAUAUUGUAGUACUGAUUUUAGUUGUUAAUACAGGACUAGUUGCUCACCUACUUUCUCAAACCUUUUACUACACUUUAUUUUCUCUUUGACAUUCAUAUUCCUCCCUCUGAAGGAUAUAUGCCUGUGUAAAUGUGAAAAAAAAAACAUGACAAACACUUCUUCUCAUGCUAGUUAUUCUAGUAGUUGUAUCAAUAACAGUUUAUAUCAGUUCUUUGUUGAGAGCAAGAAGGACUUUCGAGUGUUUAAGCCUUUCAAGUGUCAUUUGUGUGCAUUCUUUCUUAAGGUCCAUUUUUGAGGGGGGGUAACCUCUCUUCUCUGUUAAACCCUGAUUUUUUUUGAA